AGCUCCAAUAGCGUAUAUUAAAGUUGUUGCGGUUAAAAAGCUCGUAGUUGGAUUUCUGCUUAGGACGACCGGUCCGCCCACUGGGUGAGUAUCUGGCUCGGCCUGGGCAUCCUCUUGGAGAACGUUACUGCACUUGACUGUGUGGUGCGGUAUCCAGGACUUUUACUUUGAGGAAAUUAGAGUGUUUCAAGCAGGCACACGCCUUGAAUACAUUAGCAUGGAAUAAUAAGUAGGACCUCGGUUCUAUUUUGUUGGUUUCUAGAGCUGAGGUAAUGAUUAAUAGGGAUAGUUGGGGGCAUUCGUAUUUAACUGUCAGAGGUGAAAUUCUUGGAUUUGUUAAAGACGGACAACUGCGAAAGCAUUUGCCAAGGAUGUUU
rnacentral:rRNA from 1 species